rnacentral:lncRNA from 1 species
CCCGGCUUAAGAAAACACACACACGCGCGCACACCACACACACACACGCACACUCGGAGAACAGACCAGACACGCCGCCGGAGACACUUCCUACCCCGCGCGCCGCUGUCGCCACCGCCGCUCCGGGCCGGGCCCGAGGCGCAGGCGGCCCCGGGCCCUCGGAGCGCCCCGGCCCGCGCUGACAGCGCCCGCGCCCCGGCCGGCCCCCCGCCCGCAACUCGGCGCAACUUUCCCGCGGGCGAGUGCCCGCUGCCGCCGGGCCCGCUCCCCGCGCCCCGGGCCCGCACGGACCUGGCUGUGCUGGCGGCGGCUCCGGGACGCGGCCGCAGCCCCGCGCCCGGCGGCCCGAGCAGGGCCGGGCUGGGGCUCCGGCUCCGGGCUCCGGCUCCGGCUCGGUGCGGAGCCGCGCGCAAACCUUCCGGGUCGCCUGCUGUUCACUUCUGGGUUCUGCAAGCGCCGAGGCGGCGGCGGCGGCGGCGGGAGGCUGGGUCUGCAGCGCCGCGCGGCCCCCCGUGCGCUCGGCGAGCCCCCGCGCCAGGCGCCCGGCUCCGGGGGGGCCGCGUCGGGCCCCCGCCUCUCCAGCUGCGCAGCCCGUCCGGCCCCGGGGGCUCCCGCGAGUGGGCAGCGCCGGGCUCCGGCGACGGCGCGCGAGGGAGGGGCCGGGCGGGGGCGGGGCGGGCCGCGCGCUGGGGCCCCGCUCGGGCCCCGGGGCCUCGUCUCGAGCUCGCCGCCGCCGCCGCCUCGCAAAGUUGCGCGGCGCCCCCCGCCCGCGCCGCGCCGGAGGCAGAGCCACAAAGGAACUCCUCGCCCCCCUCCGCCCGCCCGAGCCGCGCGGGGAGGGCACCGGAGCCCGCGGCCCUAGGCCAGCCCCUUCCCCAGCGCGGGGGCUCCCGGGGCCCCGGCGGCCGCGGCCAUUGUCCCGCCCAGGCCCGGCCGUCGCCUCGCCGCCCCCUCCCCGGCGACGGCGGGCUGGGGGACCUGGGCCUGCCGGGCCGUGGCCCGGACCAGGCCGAGCCUGCGCGGGGCCAGGCGGCACCCGGGGGUCUUCCUCGCAGACCGCAGGCAGGAGGGGACCCCUAG